rnacentral:rRNA from 1 species
AACGAACGCUGGCGACAGGCUUAACACAUGCUAGUUGACCGCCCAGCAAGGGGAGUGGCAGACGGGUGAGUAACGCGCGGGAACGUGCCCUUCGCUUCGGAAUAGCCCCGGGAAACUGGGAGUAAUAUCGAAUACGCCGUAUUGGGAAAGAUUUAUCGGCGAAGGAACGGCCCGCGUUAGGUUAGCUAGUUGGCGGGUUAAUGGGCCGCCAAGGCGACGAUCUAUAGCUGGUCUGAGAGGAUGAUCAGCCACACGGGUACUGAGACACGGGCCGGACGCCUAGGGGGGGCUGCAGUGGGAAGUUUUGGACAGUGUGCGCAAGCCUGAUCCAGCCAUGCCGAGUAAGUGAACAAGCCCUUAGGGUUGUAAAACUCUUUCGCCGGAGAAGAUAAUGACGGUAUGCGGAGAAGAAGCCCCGGCUAACUUCGUGCCAGCCGCCGCAGUAAAAC